rnacentral:lncRNA from 1 species
UACCAUCCCUACUAGCCGUCGCAUGCACCUUCCUUCCUGAAUUCCUCGCAACAUUCCCUCUUUCAACAAGAUUUUCGAAAUCUAUCCCCUCACCCUUGGCCUCCAAAAUAACAAAACGAGAACCUUCAAAUCGGCCAUGAUCGCCAACAUUCCUACCUUGCGAUGAGUCACUCAUCUUACCCCUCUGUCGACGUUCGACAACCAUCCAUGGGCCAAAUUCCUCCUCCUUGGCCCUAGAUUGGAGAUUUGACUUUUGAACUCUCGAACCACCUUCCACCGUCGUAUCCUCCGCCAUAGGCGCAUUUUUCUCGUAGCACAGCGUCGAGCUGUGGCCAUAGAGCCCACACGAGAAACAAAUAUUGGGUUAUCCUUCGUAUUCAACUCUUUGAAUCCUUCCAUUUAUUCUUAUUUUUGAAACUAAUGGCUUUUGCAGAUCCACACUAACAACCAGUCUCGUAAAUCUCUCUCUGACUGCUGCAUCUGUUCCAGCAUCAAUCUGAAACACUAGUCUGAUCAUACUUUCGAUGGUCCUUAGCAAAAAGUCAGAGUAAAACCCUUCAAACAGUCCUAGUAAUUGGAUCCAAACCAGUUGUUUGUCCACCUCACUGUUACUUGUUGAGAAAUCCGCAGACCAAGCUCUCACCGACAAGUAAUGACCGAAUACCACCCAUGGGCCACCCAACAGUACCUUGUCAAAGUCACCCUUAUCUUGGAAAUGGACAAGGUAAAAAUCGUUCUCCAGAUCCAAUAACUGAAAUUUACCUUUUAAAUUUCAUAGAGCAGAUACCUUAUUGAGCAAGGCUUUGAAACCUAUUUUCCUACCCAACAGCUUGAUCACAACUGUUAGAGCCAUUUUCUUUUCAAUGAAUCUAUGAACCUGAUCCGAAAACGUAAUGGAAGGGAUCCCGUUACCAUCUCUGUCGUCCCAUCCGUAUCUUGUAACUCAAAGUCCUCAUCCAUACAAACAUCCCCAUUUGGAAUCGAUAAAGCACCCAUUAACUUAGCCUUAUACGAGUCCUUUGCUACAUUGUCCUCUUGCACUGUCUGGCCAUUCCCAUCUAUUAUCGGAUCAGUCAUUAUCUCUGGCUGACGCCUGACCCUUUUCGUAGCCCUUCCAACACCACAGUCCGAGGCUAUAGAGUUAGAACCAAUAGCAAAGUUAACCAACGAGAGAGUUUCAGACAUGUUAAAAUCCUCUUCUCUAUUUCUAUUUUUUUAAUAAUUGGGUAAUGAAAAUGGAUAUUAAGGAUUGAAUCCAAAUAAGAGUCUUAUUUUCUUUUGGGCCAUAAAAGAAAUUCAUUCCAUAAAAAAGAUUUAUUAAGAGUGGAACAUGACUUGUAGCUUUGGUUGGUUUGAUUUAAAAAUAUUUGAUUUGUCAGAAUUAGUUGCGGAAAAUUAAGGUCCUUCUAGUACUUAAUCAACAUAUUUUAUAGUAUUUUUAUAUGUUUUGAUUUCAUUUUUAGUUUUUAUUGUUUUAUGUUUAAAUUAUGCAAAAUAAACGUUUUUAUACAAUUUUGAGUUAUGUAAUAAUCUAAUGGGCCACUAUGGGCUUAGGGAUGAUCUAACGACUCUAUCUAGUGUGUAGGACACUGUUUUUGGGCUUAGAAAACGAAGGACGACUGUAGCAUUGAAACACGUGACACCGAGGAGUGGUGUCCAAAGUACCCAGAAAUUAAAGGCAGUGUCACGACACCAGUCUUGUGGUGUCACAACAUCAAGUGAAGAGAUGAAAUUUUAAUUAAGGUAUUUUUUGUCCACACAAAGUAACUUAAACAGCUUUUUUGGGUUGUUUAAUAACCUUAAUUAGGUCUGAUCAUAAACUCUAUAAAUAGAUAUUUUAAGUCUCAUUUGAGGAGGCUUGACUAAUUGAGUCACUUAGUUAUUUUAGGGUUUUACUUUAGUUUUUAUUUUCUUCCAAUUUAAUCCUUUACAUACUUUUUGUUCUUGUUUAACUUGGAUUCAAUUGUGCUCCAAUAGUUUAAUAUAUUAGUUUUUUUGUUAUUUCUUCGUGGAUUCCAAUUGCAAUCGAAGGGAUCUUCGUGACUAUCAAAGGAGAUUCGCUUUCGAGCUCAAAUCGAUAUUGAAACGAACUUAUUUUUCUAUUCCUUACUUUUAUUUAAUUUACUGUUUUUUUAUGUUAAAUAUGAGUUUAAGGAUUAUUGCAUCUAGACCACGAAGAGCUAAUUUCCUUAGGGAGAUUAACGAACGAAUGUGUGACUAAUUAACGGAUGAAUUAAGGUUGAGAUUCGAGUUAGCUGGUUUAAAUUAUGUGCGACUAAACCCUAGGAAGUAACACCCCUAGGAAGUAAUUUAGGAUAAACGAGAUCGAGAGAUAAGUUUACUGAGUACCUCAUAAUUUAUCCAGGUUAAGAAAGUGAGAACAAGAGGUAAGCGAGUAUUGGUCGAUUAGUUAAUUAGUUAGAGACUGAAAGGUAAUAAUUGAUUAAUUAAUAGCUAACUCGAUAAAACCUAAGUUCUGAAGUUAAUUAGGAGCACUGAAGUGAGUUGAUAUCCUUCUUGUUUUAUUGGAUUAAAUUUGGUUGUUAAUUGGUUGAUUUUUAGUUUAAUUUAAUUAAUUGAUGUUAAUUUUAUUUUUUGUAAUAUAAUUUUAAAUUGAUAUUAUUUAACCUCAUUAAUGUAGAGAGUUAAUUUAGGUCUAAUUCAACCUCCCUUGAGUAUGAUCCUUGGAAUGUUUCUCGAAGUGUUUUUUUGUAAUACUAAUCUGUAUUACAAUUUGACCUGUAUAUUUGCGGACAUCACUGUUUAAUUAUUUAUCUAUUUUAUUGCAAUAUUUUUAGUUCAGGUGUUCGCAACAUUGACCAUUUGGGUAAUGAUGUUUGGUAGAUUAGAGAAGAAUAAAUCAUAAUUUGGGGAAACUUCCCUCAGAGUCAAGACACUCUCUUAUUGGUGUCGCGGCAUUGAUUUUUUGUCCUCGUAGUCGCGAUUCUCCCCUAUUAAGGUUGCAACAUUGAAUCCCCCUGCCUUCAAGGUCGCAACUCACCUCGAUUAAAGUCGCGAUGCAUGUUUCUGUCUUCAAUGUUAUGAUAUGUCUACAUCAUGGUCGUGAUAUCUCAUUUGUCUUUUGAAAAUUUUACGUUUUAUUCCUUCCAUUAAUAUCGAUGUUAACAAGGGAUUUCAUAUACUAGUUUAUAAUCUGAAUUUAAUUUAAUAAUACGGUUAUUAAGUUUUGGAACCUGAUAACUUGUUUAUUAGAUAUGCAAAUGCAAUUGUCGUUGUUUUGACAACAAAUUUAACAUUUCACAUCUCGGAUCUCGCGAUUAGUUCAGGUGUGGGAUGUUGUAUAUUACCAUAAUCUUAUUCACACAUAUGAUUUGCUUGGAUGGUAACCAAGUCCUGGUGGCAAUAGCUUGCAACGCAACAUAUGUCAGUUCCAACUCAAAAAAUUCUAAAAUCUUGCCCAUUAGGCCAAAUCUUCCUCAAUCCGUUAGUAAAAAGUUCUACCAAAUUGUCCUUGUCAAGGGUGGAGUCCGUCUUCUCUUGAAUGCUUCAAAUACUUGAUGAUAGUUGGACUAAAGAUGAAAUAAAGUCCACGAACAUAUGUUUGCAUAAAGUGUUUAUCAUUAGGAUCAGUGACUGUCUUCUAAAGAUUGGUCCAAAACCAUUUUUUGGACAUAAGGCUUGACACAACACGCAGAGAAUAACAGGGCUUAGUUUUCUAAGAAAAAAAACAUCAACUCCAUGCUUCAAAAAACAUGCCUCCUUGAUUUUUUUCAUUGAUGAAGCCUUUUUGUGCCAUCAAUCUCAUCCUUUUUGGUACACGCAGUGUUUAGAAACUCAAGCUUUUUAGGUUUAGGAGUGAUUUGCACUUCUUCAAGCAUUUUAGCAGCACCCACGAUUUUGAGCCUUUUGUUUAUUUGCUUCGAUUUCAAUGGAACAUUGGGUCUCUUGGUUCUUUUCCUAGUAGUUUGAGGCAUCAAAUUGGAAAGAUGUACAUCAUCAUCAUCAUCAUCAUCAACAUGUGCUUUUUCUUUACCCUUAUCAGAAACUUUCUUCUUUUCAUUAGCUCCUUCAAUAACCUUAGUAAUAGCAACCAAAGUUACAUGUUAAGUUGUAAUACGAUUCCACCUCUCUUUGUCACCAUAUGACAAUCCUUGAAACUUUGGGUCAAUAUUAGUAAUUCCAAUCACUAUAUAAACUCUUACUGAUGUGGUCAACGGCCAAAUCUUAAACAUUUUGGGGUUCUUUCUUUAUCAACCUAUCUAUCUCCUCUAUAGUCUUUCUAUUCAUUUCCUUUAAGGAUUCUAGGGCAUUAAAUGCCAAAUCCCCAAUUUCAUCUUAAGACUUUGAUUGAGUGAAAAUUUUUAAUUAAGGCUUAAUUGAUUUUUUAAAAUUAUUUUAGGACUUUUUUAACAUUUAAGCCUACUUGUUAUACAUAAUUCAUGCCUUCAACUAUAGUUUAAGGGGCACUUGUGGCAUUCACUUAAAAACUAAGUUCGAUUUAGAAUUUGUUGUAUAUAAUUGUAGGUUAAAGUAAUUUUAGAUUAUUUCCCAACUUCUUGAUUAGCAAACUUCAAUAAUUUCGAGUUUAAGUUAUAUCAAAUGUUAAUAUUUUCAAUUUCAUAAAUUGUUUAUAUAUUUUUUUAAUAUUUAGUAAUUUCAAGUUCAAAUUAAAGUUUAGGUAAUCUUUUUUGCUUCUCUAUAUUAAAGUUAUUGAAGGGAGGUCAACUCCAUCAAAAAUUGAAGGGAGGUCAACUACAUCAAGAGAAACCUGCAAAGCGUCAUUUGCCAGAAGCCAAUGAACCCCUUAAUGGGUGUUAUUACCCCCUGUGGGGGCUUGGUCUCCCAACUUUGUUGAGAGCCUAAAGAGGCAAUAACUUCAUAGGGAGGGAACGCUUUGGGUGCUUGAGAAGGUGAAGUUCAAGUGGUAGCAUAUUUACUCAACAAUGCCCUAUAUGCUAUAGGGUAUGAGGUUUCUUUGGUGGGUGAUCAUGCAUAACACGCAUAGUUUGUCUUCUCAAGCACUUGACGAGAUGCUUCCACUUUGGAAAUCUGCCGUCUCUUUGGACACUUAAACUCUUAGCAAAGUUGUAAAACAAAACUCCAAUGGGGAGAAAACUAAUUCGUUGAGGAGUCCUCAACAAAAUUGUUUUAGGUUUAAACUCAAUCGGCUACAACUUAAGUUUAGACAAUAAAGAGUUCUUAGUUAUUUAAUUUUUGUAUUUAAAAAAAAUAAUUUUAGCCUUCGAUUUAAUUUGUCACUUUUUUUAGCUCUUAAACUUGUGUUGUUUGUCAAAUC